CCCUACCCAAAGCGGCUACGGUUCCCCCCCGCCCGCGCUCUUCCCAAGUCGAUCCGGUACUUCCCCAGGCAGCGCCGACUCCUGCUCGCCCCUUCCCCGGGCAGGUCCCCCUCAGGCGACCGCUCCGCCCCUCACAGCGGCGCUUUGUCCAGAGCGCCCUUCUCUUUCCUCCUCUUGCUGCCCAGACUUCCUCCACUGCUCUUCCCGCUUGCUCUUGCCUCGCAGGUCCUUCCACAGGCGGUGGACGUCUCUCUCUUCUCCACCACCAGCUACUGCAAGUGCAGGAGUGUGUCCUCAGGUCUGAGAAGGACGCCGAUCCCCGGCGAUAUGCGGGCACAGCACCACCCGAACCCCAGCCGCCCUCCAACCCCCCCCUCCCGCCCAGAAAAAACGCAUAGACCGGCUUUUCUCACCCAGUCGGUGCCACAGCACUUCCUACAGGGACGACUGCGCCGGGCACUCGUCUGCUCUGGGCACCUUGCCGCACCUGUCAGGUCUAGGACUCUCCUGAGCCCCUCAGAUGAUGGCGGUCGCCCCCCCAUAGGCGACUCGGGUCAACCCCCGCCCGCCCCGAGCCGAGCCGAUGCAGUCCCCGUCGAGACGGCGCCGAUCGCCGACCACCCUUUUCCGGGGAUGCCGCUCCAGCUCCUCUCAGGCGGCCACUCGGCGCCUCAGUGCUGCGCGCGCCGUUCCCGCCCUUCGCCUCAGGCGGACGCUCCGCCCCUCGCCUCGGCGCGCGCCGUUCCCGCNNNNNNNNNNNNNNNNNNNNNNNNNNNNNNNNNNNNNNNNNNNNNNNNNNGGGCAAGGGGGCAAAAGGCCAGAGACCUGAGCCCUGCUUACAGGGAGGUCACCCGGCGCAGCGCCAGCCAGGACACCAAAGGUGCCAACAACAGCACUAUGGGGAGGCCCCUUUGCCCUGAGCUCCCUCCUCUCCCCCCAGCCCUCUCUUCAGCCCACCGCUCCUCCUCUCCCUUGCUCUGGCCUCGCAGCUCCUUCACGAUGCCUUGUCUUGCUUCUCCACGAGCU
rnacentral:lncRNA from 1 species